rnacentral:rRNA from 1 species
UAGGGAAUCUUCGGCAAUGGACGAAAGUCUGACCGAGCAACGCCGCGUGAGUGAAGAAGGCUUUCGGAUCGUAAAACUCUGUUGUUAGAGAAGAACAAGGACGUUAGUAACUGAACGUCCCCUGACGGUAUCUAACCAGAAAGCCACGGCUAACUACGUGCCAGCAGCCGCGGUAAUACGUAGGUGGCAAGCGUUGUCCGGAUAUAUUGGGCGUAAAGCGAGCGCAGGCGGUUUCUUAAGUCUGAUGUGAAAGCCCCCGGCUCAACCGGGGAGGGUCAUUGGAAACUGGGAGACUUGAGUGCAGAAGAGGAGAGUGGAAUUCCAUGUGUAGCGGUGAAAUGCGUAGAUAUAUGGAGGAACACCAGUGGCGAAGGCGGCUCUCUGGUCUGUAACUGACGCUGAGGCUCGAAAGCGUGGGGAGCAAACAGG